rnacentral:rRNA from 1 species
GGACGAACGCUGGCGGCGUGCUUAACACAUGCAAGUCGAACGGUGAAGCGCCUUCCUUUUUGGUGGGUGUGGAUGAGUGGCGAACGGGUGAGUAACACGUGAGUAACCUGCCCCCUUCUUCUGGAUAACCGCAUGAAAGUGUGGCUAAUACGGGAUAUUCUGGGUCUGUCGCAUGAUGGGUCUGGGAAAGAUAUUGUUUCGGUGGGGGAUGGGCUCGCGGCCUAUCAGCUUGUUGGUGGGGUGAUGGCCUACCAAGGCGGUGACGGGUAGCCGGCCUGAGGGGGUGGACGGUCACACUGGGACUGAGACACGGCCCAGACUCCUACGGGAGGCAGCAGUGGGGAAUAUUGCACAAUGGGCGCAAGCCUGAUGCAGCGACGCCGCGUGAGGGAUGGAGGCCUUCGGGUUGUGAACCUCUUUCGCCAGUGAAGCAGGCCUGCCUCGUUUGUGGGUGGGUUGACGGUAGCUGGAGAAGAAGCGCCGGCUAACUACGUG